rnacentral:lncRNA from 1 species
GGAGGAGUCAUAGAAAUAACACAUUUUUUAUGUCACAUGCAACUAUGUUGCCAUAAUGAGCUCUUUUUACCUCUCAUAAAAUGUUUUGUGUACAAUAAUGCAACUUAAAUAGAAAACAUUUUCAUAGUAGAUGCCUAACAAUAGGGUUUGCUCUUUAAUCAUUGAUAGAGAAGUAUUGCAAUUGUGGCUAGCACAAGGGUGGUGGACAAUCUUGACUAAGAAACUAUUCCUCAUGUCGAGACCUGCAACAUUACUUAGAUAAGUAAGGAAGAAAAAUUCAUGUUAAUAAGUAAGUCCUAAUUAACUUCUCCACAGAAAUCUACCAAGAUUAAGUGUUUUGUGAUGUUGUUCCCAUGGAAGCCACACAUUUAAUACUUGGUACGCCAUGACAAUUUGAUAAACACACCCUACUUGGUGGCCAUACCAACAAGUUUUCAUUUCAC